AAGAUGGCGGUGCCCGAGGAACGCGAUUCUCUGACCGAAGCGUCCCAGCCGGUGAUGGAAGAGGAGGAAACUAAAACAUUUAAAGACCUGGGUGUGACAGAUGUGUUGUGUGAAGCUUGUGACCAGUUGGGAUGGACAAAACCCACCAAGAUCCAGAUUGAAGCUAUUCCUUUGGCCUUACAAGGUCGUGAUAUCAUUGGGCUGGCAGAAACUGGCUCUGGAAAAACAGGCGCCUUUGCUUUGCCCAUUCUGAAUGCACUGCUGGAGACCCCACAGCGUUUGUUUGCCCUAGUUCUUACCCCGACUCGGGAGCUGGCCUUUCAGAUCUCAGAGCAGUUUGAAGCCCUGGGGUCCUCUAUUGGAGUGCAGAGUGCUGUGAUUGUGGGUGGAGUUGAUUCAAUGUCUCAAUCUUUGGCCCUUGCAAAAAAACCACAUAUAAUAAUAGCAACUCCUGGUCGACUGAUUGACCACUUGGAAAAUACGAAACGUUUCAACUUGAGAGCUCUCAAAUACUUGGUCAUGGAUGAAGCCGACCGAAUACUGAAUAUGGAUUUUGAGACAGAGGUUGACAAGAACCUCAAAGUGAUCCCUCGAGAUCGGAAAACAUUCCUCUUCUCUGCCACCAUGACCAAGAAGGUGCAAAAGCUUCAGCGAGCAGCUCUGAAAAAUCCUGCGAAAUGUGCCGUUUCCUCUAAAUACCAGAUAGUUGAAAAAUUACAGCAAUAUUAUAUUUUUAUUCCCUCUAAAUUCAAGGAUACCUACCUGGUUUAUAUUCUAAAUGAAUUGGCGGGAAACUCCUUUACGAUAUUCUGCAGCACCUGUAAUAAUACCCAGAGAACAGCUUUGCUACUGCGAAAUCUUGGAUUCACUGCCAUCCCCCUCCAUGGACAAAUGAGUCAGAGUAAGCGCCUAGGAUCCCUUAAUAAGUUUAAGGCCAAGGCCCGUUCCAUUCUUCUAGCAACUGACGUUGCCAGCCGGGGUUUGGACAUACCUCAUGUAGAUGUAGUUGUCAACUUUGACAUUCCUACCCAUUCCAAGGAUUACAUCCAUCAAGUAGGUCAAACAGCUAGAGCUGGGCGCUCCAGAAAGGCUAUUACUUUUGUCACGCAGUAGGAUGUGGAACUCUUCCAGCGCAUAGAACACUUAAUUGGGAAGAAACUACCAGUCUUUCCAACACAGGAUGAUGAGGUUAUGAUGCUGACAGAACGCGUGGCUGAAGCCCAAAGAUUUGCCCGAAUGGAGUUAAGGGAGCAUGGAGAAAAGAAGAAACGCUCGCGAGAGGAUGCUGGAGAUAAUGAUGAUACAGAGGGCACUAUUGGUGUCAGGAACAAGGUGGCUGGAGGAAAAAUGAAGAAGCGGAAAGGCCGUUAA